CGCUAUCACUCCUACGGGAGGCAGCAGUGGGGAAUAUUGGACAAUGGGCGAAAGCCUGAUCCAGCCAUGCCGCGUGUGUGAAGAAGGUCUUCGGAUUGUAAAGCACUUUAAGUUGGGAGGAAGGGCAGUAAGCUAAUACCUUGCUGUUUUGACGUUACCGACAGAAUAAGCACCGGCUAACUCUGUGCCAGCAGCCGCGGUAAUACAGAGGGUGCAAGCGUUAAUCGGAAUUACUGGGCGUAAAGCGCGCGUAGGUGGUUCGUUAAGUUGGAUGUGAAAGCCCCGGGCUCAACCUGGGAACUGCAUCCAAAACUGGCGAGCUAGAGUACGGUAGAGGGUGGUGGAAUUUCCUGUGUAGCGGUGAAAUGCGUAGAUAUAGGAAGGAACACCAGUGGCGAAGGCGACCACCUGGACUGAUACUGACACUGAGGUGCGAAGGCGUGGGGAGCAAACAGGAUUAGAUACCCUGGUAG
rnacentral:rRNA from 1 species